CAGGCCUACGGGGCGCAGCAGGCGCGAAACCUUUACACUGCACGACAGUGCGAUAGGGGGACUCGGGGUGGCAGAGGGCCAUAAUAGCCCUCGCUUUUCUGAACCGUAAGGUGGUUCAGGAACAAGGGCUGGGCAAGACCGGUGCCAGCCGCCGCGGUAAUACCGGCAGUCCAAGUGAUGGCCGAUAUUAUUGGGCCUAAAGCGUCCGUAGCUGGCCGCGCAAGUCCAUUGGGAAAUCCACCCGCUCAACUGGUGGGCGUCCGGUGGAAACUGCCCGGCUUGGGGCCGGAAGACCCGACGGGUACGUCCGGGGUAGGAGUGAAAUCCUGUAAUCCUGGACGGACCACCGAUGGCGAAACCACGUCGAGAGAACGGAUCCGACAGUGAGGGACGAAAGCCAGGGUCUCGAACCGGAUUAGAUACCCGGGUAGUCCUGGCUGUAAACAAUGCUUGCUAGGUGUGGCCCGCGCUACGAGCGGCGUGCUGUGCCGUAGGGAAGCCGAUAAGCGAGCCGCCUGGGAAGUACGUCCGCAAGGAUGAAACUUAAAGGAAUUGCGGGGGGAGCACCA
rnacentral:rRNA from 1 species